UUCAUCCUAGUUUUUUGAAAAUAAAAGGAAGAGAAAUGGGAGAGGAGGGCUUAAACCUAGGAUCUCUAAGGAGUACACUAACUACUUAACUAUCAAGCCUAUUCAAUUUAUUAGUUAUUUAUUUCAAUUAACCCCCUAUAUUUUGGAUUGUGACAAAGGUUGUGCGAUUUUUCAGACUAAAUUUCUAGUCCCGUGACACUAGUUUAAAAUCAACCCAACUUGGUACAAUAUCAACUCACUUACAAACCAA
rnacentral:lncRNA from 1 species